rnacentral:rRNA from 1 species
AGAGUUUGAUCCUGGCUCAGGAUGAACGCUGGCGGCGUGCCUAAUACAUGCAAGUCGAACGGAGACAUUAGCAAUAGUGUCUUAGUGGCGAACGGGUGAGUAACGCGUUGGUGACCUGCCCCGAAGAGGGGGAUAACAGUCCGAAAGGAUUGCUAAUACCCCAUGUGGUCGUUUGGAUUAGAUGCCUUACGACUAAACGGAUUUAUUCGCUUCGGGAGGGGCCUGCGUCCCAUCAGCUAGUUGGUAAGGUAACGGCUUACCAAGGCGAUGACGGGUAGGGGACCUGAGAGGGUGGCCCCCCACAAUGGAACUGAAACACGGUCCAUACACCUACGGGUGGCAGCAGUAGGGAAUAUUGGUAAUCUGGGAAACCGGGAACCAGCAACGCCGCGUGCGCGAUGAAGGCCUUCGGGUUGUAAAGCGCUUUUUGAGGGGAUGAGGAAGGACAGUACCCUCAGAAUAAGCCUCGGCUAACUACGUGCCAGCAGCCGCGGUAAAACGUAGGAGGCGAGCGUUAUCCGGAUUUACUGGGCGUAAAGCGUGUGUAGGCGGUAUGAUAAGUUGGAUGUGAAAGCUCCUGGCUCAACUGGGAGAGGUCGUUCAAAACUGUCAGACUAGAGAGUGGUAGAGGGAGGUGGAAUUCCGCGUGUAGUGGUGAAAUGCGUAGAUAUGCGGAGGAACACCAGUGGCGAAAGCGGCCUCCUGGACCAUUUCUGACGCUCAGACACGAAAGCUAAGGUAGCAAACGGGAUUAGAGACCCCGGUAGUCUUAGCUGUAAACGAUGUGAACUUAGUGUCGGUGGGGUUAAAUCCAUCGGUACUGAAGCUAACGCGAUAAGUUCACCGCCUGAGGACUACGGCCGCAAGGUUAAAACUCAAAGGAAUUGACGG